UGUUUUGGCAGUGGCAUAACUAUCUGAGGGGGCCCAUCAGGUGGCCCAUGCACUUAGGACCACCCGAUGGGCAUAUCUCUAAAGGGGCCCGAUCAGUGCUGUGGAUUUUUAAUAGCUAGUCUGGGCCCCUUUAAGGAUCGUGGCACUGCUGGGAGGAAGUGAGCUCAUUUCCUCCCAGCUAACACCCGCGCGGGAGGAAGCACCGGGGAGUGUGAAGAGGAGAGGAGGACAGAGUCAGACCCACACCCACACCCACACCCACAUUAGCAUCAGCCCCAGCCAGCAGAGUCCACCCUCCUGCAUCCUAAAGGUAAGAACCAUGAGGGUGGGAGGAAGCACUGGCGAGUGUGAAGAGGAGGACAGAGUCAGACUCACACCCACAUCAUCCCCAGCCAGCAGAGUCCACCCUCCUGCAGGUAAGAACCAGGAGGGUGGUUAAAAAAGUGUGUCAGUAUGUAUGUGUACCUGAGUGUGUGUGUCUGUCUGUAUCUGUGGAUGUAUCAUUGUGUGUAUCUAUGUGUUUGUUUGUAUCUGGUUGGCAGUGUGCACCUGAGUGUAUGUUUUUGUUAUUGUUUUAUUCUUUGAUUAUUAUUUUUUUUUUUUUAUAGCAGUGCUGCAGCUUUUAUGAUCAUGGUUUUCUAGUGACUGUGUUUGAUUUUUAUGUACACUUUUUGUCCACAAUAAUUUUCACUACUUAGUUGAUAUGCCCCAUUUAUUUUAGUUUUAGUUGGGGUUCUAUUUAAAUGUUUAAUCAGAUUGUUAGUUUGUUU